ACUCCUACGGGAGGCAGCAGUGGGGAAUAUUGGACAAUGGGCGCAAGCCUGAUCCAGCCAUGCCGCGUGAGUGAUGAAGGCCCUAGGGUUGUAAAGCUCUUUCACCGGUGAAGAUAAUGACGGUAACCGGAGAAGAAGCCCCGGCUAACUUCGUGCCAGCAGCCGCGGUAAUACGAAGGGGGCUAGCGUUGUUCGGAUUUACUGGGCGUAAAGCGCACGUAGGCGGACUAUUAAGUCAGGGGUGAAAUCCCGGGGCUCAACCCCGGAACUGCCUUUGAUACUGGUAGUCUUGAGUUCGGGAGAGGUGAGUGGAAUUCCGAGUGUAGAGGUGAAAUUCGUAGAUAUUCGGAGGAACACCAGUGGCGAAGGCGGCUCACUGGCUCGAUACUGACGCUGAGGUGCGAAAGCGUGGGGAGCAAACAGGAUUAGAAACCCGUGUAGUCCCA
rnacentral:rRNA from 1 species